AUACGGAGGGUGCAAGCGUUACUCGGAAUCACUGGGCGUAAAGCGCGCGCAGGCGGCCAUUUAAGUUGGAUGUGAAAGCCUACGGCUCAACCGUAGAACUGCAUCCAAAACUAUUUGACUAGAGUGUGGGAGAGGAAGAUGGAAUUAGUUGUGUAGGGGUAAAAUCCGUAGAGAUAACUAGGAAUACCAAAAGCGAAGGCAAUCUUCUGGAACAUUACUGACGCUGAGGCGCGAAAGCGUGGGGAGCAAACAGGAUUAGAAACCCUAGUAGUCC
rnacentral:rRNA from 1 species